UACGUAGGGGGCAAGCGGUUGUCCGGAGUUACUGGGCGUAAAGCGCAACGGCAGGCGGUCUCUUAAGUUUGGAGUGACAAGUUCGGUGGCUUAAACUGGCCAAAGUGCUUCGAAAACUGAGAGACUUGAGGGCUUCAGAGGGACACGGAAUUCCGGGUGGAGUGGUGAAAUGCGUAGAGAUCCGGAGGAACACCAAAGGCGAAGGCAGUGUCCUGGGGAGUACCUGACGCUCAGGUGCGAAAGCCAGGGGAGCGAAACGGGG
rnacentral:rRNA from 1 species